rnacentral:rRNA from 1 species
CGGCGUGCUUAACACAUGCAAGUCGAACGGAAAGGCCCUGCUUUUGUGGGGUGCUCGAGUGGCGAACGGGUGAGUAACACGUGAGUAACCUGCCCUUGACAUUGGGAUAACUUCAGGAAACUGGGGCUAAUACCGGAUAGGAGCUCCUGCUGCAUGGUGGGGGUUGGAAAGUUUCGGCGGUUGGGGAUGGACUCGCGGCUUAUCAGCUUGUUGGUGGGGUAGUGGCUUACCAAGGCUUUGACGGGUAGCCGGCCUGAGAGGGUGACCGGCCACAUUGGGACUGAGAUACGGCCCAGACUCCUACGGGAGGCAGCAGUGGGGAAUAUUGCACAAUGGGCGGAAGCCUGAUGCAGCAACGCCGCGUGCGGGAUGACGGCCUUCGGGUUGUAAACCGCUUUCGCCUGUGACGAAGCGUGAGUGACGGUAAUGGGUAAAGAAGCACCGGCUAACUACGUGCCAGCAGCCGCGGUGAUACGUAGGGUGCGAGCGUUGUCCGGAUUUAUUGGGCGUAAAGGGCUCGUAGGUGGUUGAUCGCGUCGGAAGUGUAAUCUUGGGGCUUAACCCUGAGCGUGCUUUCGAUACGGGUUGACUUGAGGAAGGUAGGGGAGAAUGGAAUUCCUGGUGGAGCGGUGGAAUGCGCAGAUAUCAGGAGGAACACCAGUGGCGAAGGCGGUUCUCUGGGCCUUUCCUGACGCUGAGGAGCGAAAGCGUGGGGAGCGAACAGGCUUAGAUACCCUGGUAGUCCACGCUGUAAACGGUGGGUACUAGGUGUGGGGUCCAUUCCACGGGUUCCGUGCCGUAGCUAACGCUUUAAGUACCCCGCCUGGGGAGUACGGCCGCAAGGCUAAAACUCAAAGGAAUUGACGGGGCCCCGCACAAGCGGCGGAGCAUGCGGAUUAAUUCGAUGCAACGCGUAGAACCUUACCUGGGUUUGACAUGGAUCGGGAGCGCUCAGAGAUGGGUGUGCCUCUUUUGGGGUCGGUUCACAGGUGGUGCAUGGCUGUCGUCAGCUCGUGUCGUGAGAUGUUGGGUUAAGUCCCGCAACGAGCGCAACCCUUGUUCACUGUUGCCAGCACGUUAUGGUGGGGACUCAGUGGAGACCGCCGGGGUCAACUCGGAGGAAGGUGGGGAUGACGUCAAGUCAUCAUGCCCCUUAUGUCCAGGGCUUCACGCAUGCUACAAUGGCUGGUACAGAGAGUGGCGAGCCUGUGAGGGUGAGCGAAUCUCGGAAAGCCGGUCUCAGUUCGGAUUGGGGUCUGCAACUCGACCUCAUGAAGUCGGAGUCGCUAGUAAUCGCAGAUCAGCAACGCUGCGGUGAAUACGUUCCCGGGGCUUGUACACACCGCCCGUCAAGUCAUGAAAGUUGGUAACACCCGAAGCCGGUGGCCUAACCGUUGUGGGGGAGCCGUCGAAGGUGGGACUGGUGAUUAGGAAUAAG